rnacentral:lncRNA from 11 species
CUGCUUUCUUGUUUGGGCUUUUUAACAGUGCACUGUCUUUGUUCAAGAUACAGGUGAACAACAAUCAUGUGAUUAAUACACACACACACACCCCACACUCAUGCACAAAGCUUUUUAAGGGCCUGUCCUUUUUUGCCUCCAAACCAAGGAGCAGAUAAGAGAAGCCAGAGCAGACUGCAGGCCACAAACAGGGCUGCCUUUCUGCUCUUUCCAACCCUUGAGGUACCUGUAAUGUUCCCAGUCUCUCUUGUGCGUGGAAUGCUUCCUUGCAAACCAAGAAGCAGCAUCGGACAUGUGGAAGAUGUGAAAUGCUUGUUUCAGAGUGAGGUGUGAAGCCUUACCUCCUUUGCGCCAUUUUUGUUCCUUUUGUGGCCACCACCACACAACUUCUUGGCUUCCCACUUCUGCAGAUCCUGUUGACAUGGAUUUGGUUUACCUCUCUGCUUUCGUUUCAUCUCAGGAGCGUUGAUGGCAACUAAAGCAGGAUGACAAAAAUUGGUAAAGGUGGCAUCUCACCCCCUGCUCCAUGCUUUUAUCCCACUCUUGUCUUGCUAGAGAAGUAUAGCAAGAUCAACAAGAAGACAGAAUGCGUAAUCAGAACAAACAAAAACAUCUAAGCCUUACUCUUCCUCUGCCUUAUAUUGUCAUAGGCAUGACCUUGGCUACUUAAAGUAUUCACUGGCAGAGGAAGAUUAUCAGGGCAAGAAGACUUCAAAUGCAGCCUCAAAGA